AAGUCGUAACAAGGUUUCCGUAGGUGAACCUGCGGAAGGAUCAUUAACACGUUAUCCACGUAUCACCAUUGAGAACCGUUUCAUCUAACCUCUGUGUGGGAAUGAACAGCAACACGAUAUAUAGAGUGAUUGGUCGGGACUGCCUCACGGCGUCAGGCUCUAUUUUGUUACUCACAUCGCAAGGUGUGUACUGUUGUAUCCUUCACAGUUGGCCCCCUCUCAGCGCGCAACUCUCCUUCCAUGAAGUGAGCGCUGGGAAACGUAUCUAUAACCAUUCUAACCCCUUUUUGCUAGUUGACUUUUAUAUGUUGCUGCUUCUUUGCUUCGGCAAGGUUUCUGCACACGUUUAAUUAUUUGAACGUUAAAAAUACAACUCUUAGCAAUGGAUAUCUAGGUUCUC
rnacentral:misc_RNA from 1 species